rnacentral:rRNA from 1 species
GUGGGGAAUUGUUCGCAAUGGGCGCAAGCCUGACGACGCAACGCCGCGUGGAGGAUGAAGGUCUUCGGAUUGUAAACUCCUGUUGCCCGGGACGAAUGGCUUCGACCUAACACGUCGAAGUUUGACGGUACCGGGUGAGGAAGCCCCGGCUAACUCUGUGCCAGCAGCCGCGGUAAUACAGAGGGGGCAAGCGUUGUUCGGAAUUACUGGGCGUAAAGGGCGCGUAGGCGGCCUUCUAAGUCGAACGUGAAAUCCCCGGGCUCAACCCGGGAACUGCGUCCGAUACUGGAAGGCUUGAAUCCGGGAGAGGGAUGCGGAAUUCCAGGUGUAGCGGUGAAAUGCGUAGAUAUCUGGAGGAACACCGGUGGCGAAGGCGGCAUCCUGGACCGGUAUUGACGCUGAGGCGCGAAAGCCAGGGGAGCAAACGGGAUUAGAUACCCCUGUAGUCC